GGUAAUGCCGGAUGCUCCAUCACACCGCAUGGUGUGUUGGGAAAGCCUUUGCGGCAUGGGAUGGGGUCGCGUCCUAUCAGCUUGAUGGCGGGGUAACGGCCCACCAUGGCUUCGACGGGUAGCCGGCCUGAGAGGGCGACCGGCCACAUUGGGACUGAGAUACGGCCCAGACUCCUACGGGAGGCAGCAGUGGGGAAUAUUGCACAAUGGGCGCAAGCCUGAUGCAGCGACGCCGCGUGAGGGAUGGAGGCCUUCGGGUUGUAAACCUCUUUUGUUAGGGAGCAAGGCACUUUGUGUUGAGUGUACCUUUCGAAUAAGCACCGGCUAACUACGUGCCAGCAGCCGCGGUAAUACGUAGGGUGCAAGCGUUAUCCGGAAUUAUUGGGCGUAAAGGGCUCGUAGGCGGUUCGUCGCGUCCGGUGUGAAAGUCCAUCGCUUAACGGUGGAUCCGCGCCGGGUACGGGCGGGCUUGAGUGCGGUAGGGGAGACUGGAAUUCCCGGUGUAACGGUGGAAUGUGUAGAUAUCGGAAAAGAACA
rnacentral:rRNA from 1 species